rnacentral:pre_miRNA from 1 species
CAACUACUCCCUCUGUCCCAAAUUUCUUGUCUUAGAUUUGUCUAGAUAUGGAUGUAUCUAAUACUAAAAUGUGACUUGAUACAUUCGUAUCUAGACAAAUCUAAGACAAGAAUUUUGGGACGAAGGGAGUACUUU